rnacentral:tRNA from 1 species
GGGCCUGUAGCUCAGCUAGGUAGAGCGCUCGACUCUUAAUCGAGCGGCCAAGGGUUCGAAUCCCUUCAGGCCCGCCA